rnacentral:rRNA from 1 species
UACGUAGGGGGCAAGCGUUGUCCGGAAUUAUUGGGCGUAAAGCGCACGUAGGCGGUUUGCUAUGUCGGAUGUGAAAGCCCUUGGCUUAACUGAGGAAGUGCGUCCGAAACUGGCAAGCUAGAGUACCAAAGAGGGUCGCGGAAUUCCCGGUGUAGAGGUGAAAUUCGUAGAUAUCGGGAGGAACACCGGUGGCGAAGGCGGCGACCUGGGUGGAUACUGACGCUGAGGUGCGAAAGCGUGGGGAGCAAACAGG